rnacentral:rRNA from 1 species
AGAAUCAACGCUGGCGGCGUGCCUAACACAUGCAAGUCGCACGAGAAAGGGGAGCAAUCCCUGAGUACAGUGGCGCACGGGUGAGUAACACGUGAAUCAUCUACCUCCGAGUGGGGAAUAACUGAGAGAAAUCUUAGCUAAUACCGCAUAAUACCCACGGGUCAAAGCAGUAAUGCGCUUGGAGAGGAGUUCGCGGCAGAUUAGUUAGUUGGCGGGUAAUGGCCCACAAGACGAUGAUCUGUA